rnacentral:rRNA from 1 species
UACGUAGGUCCCGGGCGUUGUCCGGAUUUAUUGGGCGUAAAGCGAGCGCAGGUGGUUUAUUAAGUCUGGUGUAAAAGGUAGUGGCUCAACCAUUGUAUGCAUUGGAAACUGGUAGACUUGAGUGCAGGAGAGGAGAGUGGAAUUCCAUGUGUAGCGGUGAAAUGCGUAGAUAUAUGGAGGAACACCGGUGGCGAAAGCGGCUCUCUGGCCUGUAACUGACACUGAGGCUCGAAAGCGUGGGGAGCAAACAGG